GUGGGGAAUUUUGGACAAUGGGCGCAAGCCUGAUCCAGCAAUGCCGCGUGCAGGAAGAAGGCCUUCGGGUUGUAAACUGCUUUUGUACGGAACGAAACGGUCCUGGUUAAUACCUGGGGCUAAUGACGGUACCGUAAGAAUAAGCACCGGCUAACUACGUGCCAGCAGCCGCGGUAAUACGUAGGGUGCGAGCGUUAAUCGGAAUUACUGGGCGUAAAGCGUGCGCAGGCGGUGCUGUAAGACAGGCGUGAAAUCCCCGGGCUCAACCUGGGAAUUGCGCUUGUGACUGCAAGGCUGGAGUGCGGCAGAGGGGGAUGGAAUUCCGCGUGUAGCAGUGAAAUGCGUAGAUAUGCGGAGGAACACCGAUGGCGAAGGCAAUCCCCUGGGCCUGCACUGACGCUCAUGCACGAAAGCGUGGGGAGCAAACAGGAUUAGAAACCCGAGUAGUCC
rnacentral:rRNA from 1 species